UACGUAGGGACCAAGCGUUGUCCGGAAUCAUUGGGCGUAAAGAGCUCGUAGGCGGUUUGUCGCGUCUGCUGUGAAAACUCGGGGCUUAACCCCGGGCCUGCAGUGGGUACGGGCAGACUAGAGUGCGGUAGGGGAGACUGGAAUUCCUGGUGUAGCGGUGAAAUGCGCAGAUAUCAGGAGGAACACCGGUGGCGAAGGCGGGUCUCUGGGCCGUAACUGACGCUGAGGAGCGAAAGCGUGGGGAGCGAACAGG
rnacentral:rRNA from 1 species